rnacentral:rRNA from 1 species
GAUUAGGAGUGAAAAGCUAAUCGAACCCGGAGAUAGCUGGUUCUCCUCGAAAGCUAUUUAGGUAGCGCCUCAUAUGUAUCCUCUCGGGGGUAGAGCACUGUUAUGGCUAGGGGGUCAUCGCGACUUACCAAACCAUGGCAAACUCCGAAUACCGGGAAGGAAUGCAUGGGAGACACACGGCGGGUGCUAACGUCCGUCGUGGAAAGGGAAACAACCCAGAUCCACAGCUAAGGUCCCCAAUUCAGUGCUGAGUGGGAAACGAUGUGGAAAGGCAUAGACAGCCAGGAGGUUGGCUUAGAAGCAGCCACCCUUUAAAGAAAGCGUAAUAGCUCACUGGUCUAAUCAAGAAAUCCUGCGCCGAAGAUGUACCGGGGCUCAAGCCAUGCACCGAAGCUGCGGACUCGAAAGAGUGGUAGCGGAGCGUUCCGUAAGCCUGUGAAGGGAGACCCGUGAGGGCUCCUGGAGGUAUCGGAAGUGAGAAUGCUGACAUAAGUAGCGACAAAAAGCGUGAGAGACGCUUUCGCCGUAAGUCCAAGGGUUCCUGCGCAAGGUCAAUCCGCGCAGGGUUAGCCGGCCCCUAAGUCGAGGGCGACAGCCGUAGACGAUGGGAACCACGUCAAUAUUCGUGGGCCUGCUGGUGGUGACGGAUCCGAAAAGUGGCCCGAGCUCGUUGGCGAAUGCUCGGGCGGCCCAAGGGUUCCAGGAAAUAGCCCCAGCGUAUAGACCGUACCCUAAACCGACACAGGUGGACUGGUAGAGUAUACCAAGGCGCUUGAGGGAACCAUGUUGAAGGAACUAGGCAAUUUACCCCCGUAACUUCGGGAUAAGGGGGCCUCUGACGGUCUCGUCAGAGGGGCACAGACUAGGGGGUGGCGACUGUUUACCAAAAACACAGGGCUCUGCUAAGCCGUGAGGCGAAGUAUAGGGUCUGACGCCUGCCCGGUGCCGGAAGGUUAAAAGGAGAUGUGCAAGCAUCGAAUUGAAGCCCCGGUAAACGGCGGUCGUAAGUAUAACGGUCCUAAGGUAGCGAAAUUCCUUGUCGGGUAAGUUCCGACCUGCACGAAUGGCGUAACGACCUCCCCACUGUCUCCGGCAUGGGCUCAGCGAAAUUGAAUUCCCCGUGAAGAUGCGGGGUACCCGCAGUUAGACGGAAAGACCCCGUGCACCUUUACUACAACUUUGCAGUGGCAUUAGAGAAUGGAUGUGUAGGAUAGGCGGGAGCCUUUGAAGCCUGGGCGCUAGCUCGGGUGGAGGCACCCUUGAAAUACCGCCCUUUUGUUCUUUGAUGUCUAACCGAGGUCUGUCAUCCAGAUCCGGGACCCUGCAUGGUGGGUAGUUUGACUGGGGCGGUCGCCUCCCAAAGAGUAACGGAGGCGCGCGAUGGUUCCCUCAGGCUGAUUGGAAACCAGCCGUAGAGUGUAAAGGCAUAAGGGAGCUUGACUGCGAGAGAGACAUCUCGAGCAGGUACGAAAGUAGGAGUUAGUGAUCCGGCGGUAUGCAAGUGGAAGUGCCGUCGCUCAACGGAUAAAAGCUACCCUGGGG